UAGAGUUUGAUCCUGGCUCAGAGCGAACGCUGGCGGCAGGCCUAACACAUGCAAGUCGAGCGGCCGUAGCAAUACGGCAGCGGCAGACGGGAGAGUAACACGUGGGAACGUACCCUUCGGUUCGGAAUAACUCAGGGAAACUUGAGCUAAUACCGGAUACGUCCGUAAGGAGAAAGAUUUAUCGCUGAAGGAUCGGCCCGCGUCUGAUUAGCUAGUUGGUGGGGUAACGGCCCACCAAGGCGACGAUCAGUAGCUGGUCUGAGAGGAUGAUCAGCCUCACUGGGACUGAGACACGGCCCAGACUCCUACGGGAGGCAGCAGUGGGGAAUAUUGGACAAUGGGCGCAAGCCUGAUCCAGCCAUGCCGCGUGGGUGAUGAAGGCCCUANGGUUGUAAAGCCCUUUCGGCGGGGAAGAUAAUGACGGUACCCGCAGAAGAAGCCCCGGCUAACUUCGUGCCAGCAGCCGCGGUAAUACGAAGGGGGCUAGCGUUGCUCGGAAUCACUGGGCGUAAAGCGCACGUAGGCGGCUUUUUAAGUCAGGGGUGAAAUCCUGGAGCUCAACUCCAGAACUGCCCUUGAUACUGAGAAGCUUGAGUCCGGGAGAGGUGAGUGGAACUGCNAGUGUANAGGUGAAAUUCGUAGAUAUUCGCAAGAACACCAGUGGCGAAGGCGGGUCACUGGCCCGGUACUGACGCUGAGGUGCGAAAGCGUGGGGAGAAACAGGAUUAAAUACCCUGGGAGUCCACCCCUAAACGAUGGAUGGCUACCGUUGGCGGGUUUACCCCGCAGGGGGCAGCUACGGAUUAAGCAUCCCGCUGGGGAGACCGGCCCAAAUUAAACUCAAGGGAAUGACG
rnacentral:rRNA from 1 species